AGUUUUGUUCAAGUGGCGCAAGCCUGAUCCAGCCAUGCCGCGCGAGUGAAGAAGGCCUUCGGGCUGUAAAGCCCUUUCGGACGGGACGUAAACGCGUGGGCUCAUACCCCACUCAGCUGACGGUAUCGUCAGAAUAAACACCGCUGACCGAGGUGCCACCCGCCGCGGUAAUACGUAGGGUGCGAGCGUUAAUCGGAAUUACUGGGCGUAAAGCGUGCGCAGGCGGUUGAUUAAGACAGGCGUGAAAUCCCAGGGCUUAACCUGGGAACUGAGCUUGUGACUGGUCAGCUAGAGUACGGCAGAGGGGGGUGGAAUUCCACGUGUAGCAGUGAAAUGCGUAGAGAUGUGGAGGAAAACCGAUGGCGAAGGCAACCCCAUAGGCCGAUACUGACGCUCAGGCAAGAAAGCGUGGGUAGCAAACAGG
rnacentral:rRNA from 1 species